rnacentral:rRNA from 1 species
GACGAACGCUGGCGGCGUGCUUAACACAUGCAAGUCGAGCGGUAAGGCUCCUUCGGGAGUACACGAGCGGCGAACGGGUGAGUAACACGUGAGCAAUCUGCCCUUCACUUCGGGAUAACUCCGGGAAACCGGUGCUAAUACCGAAUACGACCACUUCAGGCAUCUGAUGGUGGUGGAAAGUUCCGGCGGUGAAGGAUGAGCUCGCGGCCUAUCAGCUUGUUGGUGGGGUAACGGCCCACCAAGGCAACGACGGGUAGCCGGCCUGAGAGGGUGACCGGCCACACUGGGACUGAGACACGGCCCAGACUCCUACGGGAGACAGCAGUGGGGAAUAUUGGACAAUGGGCGAAAGCCUGAUCCAGCAACGCCGCGUGAGGGAUGACUGCCUUCGGGUUGUAAACCUCUUUCAGUGCCGACGAAGCCUCUUUUGGGGUGACGGUAGGUGCAGAAGAAGGACCGGCCAACUACGUGCCAGCAGCCGCCGUAAAAC